AUCAUCAGACUCUACACGGUUAAGAACAUUGGAACAAAAGAAUGCUGGGAUACAAAUUUAAAGAUAAAGAACUUUUAAAAAUCAGUUUCCUUAGUUACUAUACAAUAACUCCUAUUAUAAUUUCAGAAAAAUAAGAAAAAAUUAAACAUAACUAGUGUGUAAAAUAAUAUAAGCAAAAAUAAACAAAAAUAAACAUAUAAAACAAAAAGUCCAGUAUGUACGAGGAUGACAAAGCACGGUUCCUACUUUAUGAUGUGCACUUAACUUUUCUCGGGUGUACUCGUUGUGCAACUCUCGGCUUUCUUGAGCUUUCUUCUUUUAAUUAGAUACACCCAUGCACCUGGGUCUUCUAUCGCUGGUUUUUCAUUUAGAAUGCACCCUUUGUCUCUGGCUUUUAGGAUCUCUAUGGCUUCAGUCAUUAGUGCUUGCAAUUUUUUAGCUAAUGGUUUUAUCACUCUUGCUUCUUCCCAUUCUAUCUUUAGGUCUUCGCUGUAGGCGGCUACAGCAAGGGCAAUGCUCAGAGCCCCUGAAGCUAUAUCCUUUUUAUGUUCCCUCACUCUGCUGCAAAGUUCUUGUCAUGACACCUAUAUAUGCAGUAUCCUGGUGGAAAUUUAACUGUUUUGCUGGGAUCUUAUAUACUCCUGACCUUUGGUCCUCUGUUCUUCUCUGCUUCUCGUUCCUCACCUUGUUAAAUACUGUUGGUGUUCUAUAGAUGGCUGGCCUCUUC
rnacentral:lncRNA from 1 species